rnacentral:tRNA from 1 species
AGGGGUUUAAGUUAAUUAAGACUAGGAGCCUUCAAAGCUCACAACGGGGGUUAAAAUCCCUCAACCCUUG